AUGUCCAUCACCGCCCACUAUAUCAAUGCAGAAUUCAUCUACAAGAAGAAGAUCAGAAGUUUCGCAGAGGUGAAGUAUCCUCACACGGGCUAUGCGAUAGAAGAGGAACUUGUUGGUUGCCUAACAGAAUGGGGCAUAAGGGGCAAGCUGUUCACUUUGACACUAGAUAAUGCCAGCAAUAAUACUAAUGCAUGUGAUGAGUUAAUAAAAUAUCACAAACAUGAGCUGCUCCUUGAAGGUCAACAUUUGCAUGUGAGGUGCUGUGCACACAUUCUCAAUAUCUUGGUUCAGGAUGGAAUGAAGAUAAUCCAUGAAGCUAUUGACAUGAUACGAGAGUUGCUGAAGUUUAUUGACUCUUCUCCUUCAAGACUUUAG
rnacentral:rRNA from 1 species